UUUUCUACACUUUCUCAAAGGAGCUCUUCCUCAGAAUUUCCUAUGGGAACUCCUCAGGGCGAAAAUCAGUAAUGCUGGCAGAAUCUUACACCAAGGAAAACCAAGCUAUGUGAAUGGAAAACUAGCGAAUAGAAGACAUGUGAAGUGGCUAGUUUGUGCAGAACAAGUUUGCAACAUGUGCAGAAAAAAUGUGGGCAACAAGAUUAACUGGAGCUGAAUCAGUGCCCUUCGAAAGAGGACAGGAUACAGGAUGGCUAUAUUACAGCUUGAGUUUCCUGAAUGGAAGUCUGGCCAAAGGGGAUGGCGUGCUUUCUUCCGGAUCUAUUGUUCAUUCUCAGCCUUAAACCCUUGCCUUUCUUAUUUACUUAUCCGGAUCAACCAGCUGCUUGCCUAUUUGUUUUUGUUUGUUUCACAAACAAUGGUGUCUCAUUGUGAUGGUCUGACAUGUGCUCUGGCUAUGCAUUUUCUUAUCUUUCAAAGUGUAUCUGGGGUCCUAGGUUUCUUUUGCCACUGCUCAGUUAGUUAUCCAGAUUCUGAACAAUAGAAUAAUAUGAAAUGUUACGUAAUUUGACUUCUUUGUACAACAGUAAAUAAAAACAUUCACUAACAGGAAAAGCUUUGGGAUUAC